rnacentral:siRNA from 1 species
GCGUGCUAACACGUAUGUUACAC